GCUGUUAUCAGUGAACAAAAUACGCUGUGUUGUAUGAAGUUUUUCUGGCAAUGCUGUACGACCAAAGGAUUAAUGGAUGGAUAUUGGUUUAAUAUUACCCCUCGUAGAUUAUAUUAUACUACUCGCAGGCAUGUGCAAUUUUACUCGCGACAAUAUUUACAAAUAUUAAUGUAAUAACAAUAUCUAGUGACAUAAUAAUAA
rnacentral:lncRNA from 1 species